AGUGAACGCUGGCGGUAGGCCUAACACAUGCAAGUCGAACGGCAGCACAGUAAGAGCUUGCUCUUACGGGUGGCGAGUGGCGGACGGGUGAGGAAUACAUCGGAACCUACUUUUUCGUGGGGGAUAACGUAGGGAAACUUACGCUAAUACCGCAUACGACCUACGGGUGAAAGCAGGGGAUCUUCGGACCUUGCGCGAUUGAAUGAGCCGAUGUCGGAUUAGCUAGUUGGCGGGGUAAAGGCCCACCAAGGCGACGAUCCGUAGCUGAUCUGAGAGGAUGAUCAGCCACACUGGAACUGAGACACGGUCCAGACUCCUACGGGAGGCAGCAGUGGGGAAUAUUGGACAAUGGGCGCAAGCCUGAUCCAGCCAUACCGCGUGGGUGAAGAAGGCCUUCGGGUUGUAAAGCCCUUUUGUUGGGAAAGAAAAGCAGCAGGUUAAUACCCCGCUGUUCUGACGGUACCCAAAGAAUAAGCACCGGCUAACUUCGUG
rnacentral:rRNA from 1 species